UUGUUGGAUUAUUUAUGGGGAAGCAGCUUCAUGGUUUACAAGCUAGAGCAACUUUAUGAAAAUGAAGGAUGUCUUUGGUGUGACAAUGACACACCGUUGUUUCUCACAUCAGUUUACAUUAGAACAGUUCAAUUUUAGCUGUCGCAGUCAUGCAUAAAAUGGGCAAUAUAAGGAAUACUUUCAUGCACAAUUUCCACCUUUUACAAUAAGCAACUGCACUAUAUACCUUACAUGCGAUGUACAGUUUGUUUUAAGCAUUAGUUUGAUCUUGCUUUGUUUUUACGUUUACAAUUUAUUGUAUUGCUGUAGAAGCAUUACUACUGAUAUAUUGUGCACGUGACAGACUUAAAAUGAUAAAUAUUGCUUAAGAAGUGAGAUCCAGACUGUACUUCAUCUGAUAUUUUGAAACUGCUGGCUGAGAUCUGAAUUCAAUGGCAUUGCAGUUUAAUCCAGUUUAAGUAUUAGUCUCUAGCUGCUUUUAGCCAGUUCAUUUGGGUUGAACGUAUGCAAAUUAAGUGACAGACACCUAUUCACCUUAUUUUUCACGACAACAAGGGCGGCGCCAUAGCGCUCAGUUUGUCAACGUACUUCCGGCCGCAUAGAAGAAGAGCAGCUGAGGCAGUGACUGAAGGCGACGCGUUAAGCUUAAAAAGUUCAUUCAAGCGCCUUUAUGUUUGUUUCUUACCAAUUUUAACGGACGGGAAGCCGACUGAGGAACACCCUUAUCCCAGGCAAUGGUUCGACUACGAUGGUCCGGUAACUUUAAACCACGCCGGGUGUUGAAAAGGUGUCCAGUUUCAGAUGCAUUGAUGUGUAGUGAUGCAGUGAACAACUGUGAGGAUGAUACAAUCAACAUGUUCCUAAACUGUGAUGCAGAAACACAAUGGGAGGAUCCAUCCGUCUCUGACCACAACUACACAUUAAAAUCACAACUCAACCUGAAGCAACCUACAUCUGAUAUGGGAAAACAAUGGUGCGGUUUCUCAGACAGGGCUUAUGCUGGUACCAGGCUAAAAUGCAUAUUUGAGCUACAAAAAUGUAAAAACACCUUGUACUGACAUACCUCAACAUAUAUGAGUGCCAUUGUUUUGUCACAAGAUGCGCACCAGUCUUGUUUUUUUGUAAGGUUUGUUUGUAAAAACUAAAAUGUCCUAAUAUAAUUAAGGCCUAGUCCUGUAAACCCUGUCGAAGAAACCGCUUCAAUGUGUUAAGCUGGCACAAAUGUACAUAUCUCUGCUGAGAAACAACCAUCUUUGUCAGCUUUACAGAGGGUUGAUAUUGCAUCAAUUACACAGUCACCAAGCACUUUACCAGUACAUACACCAACAGCUUCCAGAUAAACACUUGGGAUCAGCUCCUGAUGACUCUGAUAAAGCUGUGUCUUAAUUUAUUGCAGGGUGGUCUUGCUGAAAAGUUAGCUGUUUCUUAGUCUAGUUAUCUUUAUAAACCUUUACAGUGUGACCUGAUUUUACCUGUUGUAAAGUUACAUUAAACCUUCAUAUGUGAUUAGAUGUCAUGCAGUGAUAUUAAACAUUUACAAUGUGAGCUGUUGUGCAUUUAUUAAACCUUUACAAUGUGAUCAGGUGUUACCUGCCAUGCAGUUAUAUUAAACCUUUACAAUGUGA